UCGCGCCUGGAAAUCCGUAUUUCCUUUUUCGCUUCCCUUUUUUCAACAUCACUUAAAUCGAGGUUUAUCCACUGAGGGCACAAAUGAGACUGAAGCAAUCCCAAUACUUCUUUUACGAUGCAACAAAAUGUUGACUGAACCAUUGGAAUAUCGAAGUCUUUACCCACUCCAUGCUGAUAGCCUCCUUCAGCUAAAAACCGUAAAACUGAAGACAAUCGAUGAAGUAAAAAUAUAGACGACGAUCUUGAAGAACUUGCAUUCCCCUCUAGAACAUCGAGAACAUACGUAAAUGCCGCCUUAUUUAAGCGAUAGUUUUUAAUAAACCUGUUUUAGAAAAAUAAUUUUAAUAAAAUUUAACAAUAAAUUUUUAUGGAUUUAUGAACUGUACAUUGUUUCGUCCACAUCGAAAGGGUUACUCCUGUCCCUCAGUGAUUUUCGGUGAAUUUUUAUAUCACGCCGCUUUCUCUCACGUUCUUCCUCAAGCAACAUAAAUGAAAACGUUAGCGAAUACAUAUUUUUUGUUCGUAAAACCAAUUUGAAUAUAAACGUUUCCACUUUUAUUAAUCCUAAUUUUUAUUUUUUCUUCAACACAGCUGAUUUCGAAAUGUCAAAAUUCAAAAUUAAGUCUGGCAACAAAAGUUUCGAAUUCACAUGAAUUCAAUGAUAGCAAAUUGUUCGUAUUCGUAGCGGACAUUCGUAUUCGUAGCUUUGCUACGAUGGAUUGCGUGAUAGGGCUGUAUAUCUGAGUUUUAUUGGAAAACAGUAUUUGAAAACACUGAAUUUCAUCAAAAGUGUCUCUGCUGCUUUAACGACCAAAAAAUAUAUUGAUACGAAUAUUUUCUUCUAAACACAAUUUUGAAACAGAUAUUAUAAAAAAACACAAGAUAUGUUCAAUUUUCUACAAAUAAGCGUGCGGUAGAAGAAUAGAACUAGGUAUAUGUAAACUUUAUUGAUUUAUAUUACAAUCUAAAUUUAGGCUCCUAUUACGGGUUUCUUCCAACUGCAUUUUGGUUGGUAUUUUGAAAUUCGGCAUUAUGGUUUUCCACUCAAUCCGUUAAAAAAAAUUCGAUUGAAGUGCUGGCAAACUUCAAUUUUUUUUUGGUAUAACGGUUUUCAACUCUACGACAGUGGGCUAGACUAGAGUAUCAAAAAUGAACAGUUUUUAUAACAAAUCUAUAGAAAGGUGAAACAUUUGUUGAGCUCGUGAAGUAAAAUUCCGGUAUUGCAAUUUGUAAACAUUAGAAUAAAAUUAAGGUAUUCCUAGGAAUAUAAGGGGUAUUCAGACCGAACUUGUUAAUCUGGUAAUUCACUUGUUGAUACUUCGUUAAAACACUUAACUCUGAACAUACUUUUGGCUUUCACCCCUAUCAUGCAUUUCGAUUACGUCCACGCUCUACGCUCCGCCGGAGUCGAAAUUAGGUAUCAUGCGUUGCAAUUGGAUUGAAAGAAGAAGGGGAAGAGCUAUAACUCUUUCGAAAUCAGCUGUUUGCUUUGAAAUAUGUGAAACUGGAACAUAACAAAGCAAAAAUACAAAAUUACUGCUGUUCAAAGAAAAUAAAUAAAAGUAAAAUUUUUAUAUUGUUAUUAUUUUUAUUAAACGUAACUAUGGAAUCUUUAUCCGCGGCGAUAUUACUGGUUGAGGAGAAGAGCAGCGCAUCUCAGAAUGCUGAGGUGAGAAUUGAGAGGAGAAGAUUACGAGAUAUGUGCGAUCCCUUCCAGAUAAAUGACGGGCUAUUCAAAAAAACUUUCGUCUGAAUAAGGACGCAUUCAAGUAUGUCCUAGAU